rnacentral:misc_RNA from 1 species
GAUGAAGAACGUAGCGAAAUGCGAUAAGUAAUGUGAAUUGCAGAAUUCAGUGAAUCAUCGAAUCUUUGAACGCACAUUGCGCCCGCUAGUAUUCUGGCGGGCAUGCCUGUCCGAGCGUCAUUUCAACCCUCAAGCCCCCGGGCUUGGUGUUGGGGAUCGGCGAGCCUCCGCGCCCGCCGUCCCCUAAAUCUAGUGGCGGUCUCGCUGUAGCUUCCUCUGCGUAGUAGCACACCUCGCACUGGGAAACAGCGCGGCCACGCCGUUAAAACCCCAACUUCUGAACGUUUGACCUCGGAUCAGGUAGGAAUACCCGCUGAACUUAAGCAUAUCAAUAAGCGGAGGA